CUACGUGCCAGCAGCCGCGGUAAUACGGAAGGUUCGGGCGUUAUCCGGAUUUAUUGGGUUUAAAGGGAGCGUAGGCCGUGGAUUAAGCGUGUUGUGAAAUGUAGAUGCUCAACAUCUGACUUGCAGCGCGAACUGGUUUACUUGAGUGUGCGCAACGUAGGCGGAAUUCGUCGUGUAGCGGUGAAAUGCUUAGAUAUGACGAAGAACUCCGAUUGCGAAGGCAGCUUACGGGAGCACAACUGACGCUGAAGCUCGAAGGUGCGGGUAUCAAACAGGAUUAGAUACCCUGGUAGUCCGCACAGUAAACGAUGGAUGCCCGCUGUUGGUCCAUUAGGGUCAGCGGCCAAGCGAAAGCAUUAAGCAUCCCACCUGGGGAGUACGCCGGCAACGGUGAAACUCAAAGGAAUUGACGGGGGCCCGCACAAGCGGAGGAACAUGUGGUUUAAUUCGAUGAUACGCGAGGAACCUUACCCGGGCUUGAAUUGCAGACGAACGAUUCAGAGA
rnacentral:rRNA from 1 species